UUUUCCAUACACUACUAACCUACCAAUGUGAGCAGUUAGUAACAAUAUUAACAAAUGCAGAAACUGUGUUUUUGCGUUCAUUGAUGGCGCGGACCGAUGACGUAAUCCGGGGAGGCGAGAUUUACUAUGGCUGGGGACACAGUCUGGGACGCUGCCAAGCCUAGAAUGAGCCAGUGAAGGAGGCAGCACCAGGAUGUCGUUGUACGGGGAGAGUGCCAGGUCCCCGCUGGAGCAUGUGUGGAGACAGUUUGUGCCUCAGGGGUAUGACCAGGCCCUGCGCAAUGCCUUCUACAAUGUGGCUGCCAUCGUGUUUGUGGGCUGUGUGGCAGCUGCUGCCUGGUCUGUGUACAUGAUAUUCCAGCCCUUUGUUCAGCCACUGCUGUGGGCGGUGCUGUGUGGGUCACUGCUGCACCCCGCCAAGCACACUGUCACCAAGUGGACACGUGAUUGGCUGGCAGAGGUCCAGACGUCCCACGGCUUGCUGUCAGUUGCAGUUGCCUUCCUUCCCCUCCGACUGGUGGACACUGUGUCAGAGUUUGUGGGCAGGUUUGUGGUGGCCCACGUCAAGAGUGUGGUGACGGUGACUGUCAUCCUGCCGUUGCUGUACAUCGUGAUCCACCACACCCCAACCGUCCUCUCCAGCUUGGCCUACAGCAUACUGUCCUGCCUCAUCACCAUCACCACCACUGUUGUCACCGUCAUCACCACCAAUGGAUACAUAUCCCUCACACUGGUCACUGGGUACCUGGUUGCUGUGGUCUUCUUCUGGACAGACAAGUCAUCACAGGUCCUGGGCCGCUUCAGUGUGCUUGUGUGGCUGGUGGCAGCGGCAGGCCUGGCAGGGAUGUGGCCAGCAGGCAGUGUGGUGCUGUUCCUGGUGAUGUGUGCACUGCUGCUCGCUGGACUGUGUACUGAGGUGCUGGAUGUCCAGGCACACCUCAAGGCCCAGAAGGAGGAGGAUGUGUCCUUGGUGGAGGCCAUGUUGGCAGUGUGUCGUGGUGAUGAGGAGAAGGAGCAACAGCAGAAGCAGCAGGAGCUUGAGGCCACACCUGCUAUCAAAAUAGUGGAGGAGGAUGAGGAUGAGAGCCAAUCCCAUACCCUAUCUCCUGUGGCGGAGGAGGAAGAGGGAGGAGAGGGACGCUUCAACACCUCCACCCCUCCUGAUGCCAUCCCUGCCUGCCCCAAACCCCCUGUAGGGACCUCCGAAUCCAAAAAAGAAGUAGAGGAAGUCCAGGAGAAAGAAAAGGAUACCAGUGCCCCAACCCCAGGCCCAGAGACACCCCGGCCCAAGGUGCUGCUGAGUGCUGGGGGUCACACCAUGCACCAGACCCAGAGCCAUGUGGAGGAGAAUGGCAGCAACAUAUACCUCAAGGGUGUGUUUGUUGGAUGCAUCUUAGUGGAGCUGUGGAGACACAACUAUCUGCUGCCACUGCUGCCCACUGCCAUGAUCUACUAUGGCAUCAAGAAGCUUGCCUCCCGGUACCUGAUGUGGAGUGCGAAGAAUGGCAGUGUGGUGGCCAACAUGAUGUGUGCCGUGAGGAGCAAGGUGGGGGGCUUCCUGGGUCUUCGGCGUCCUGCUCUGCUACCUGCACCAAUCAGGGGAGUGGCCAAGCUGCUGAUGCGCACAGACAACCAGGCGGUGGUGGUGUUGGUGGCUGCUGUGGAUGCCCUCGUCACCCUCUUUGUCAUCCUCACUGUCAUCUUCUUUGCGGUGACGGCCUCCAUUUACCUCGCUGUGCAGAUCCAGGGGGAGAGCAUGGUGCUGAUCAGCCUGGGCAGUCAGGUGAUCAACUCAACAGUGGUGAACAACCCUCAGUUCCUGGCGCUGCUGCCAGAGGGCCUGGGCGAAGUGGUGACGUCAGCGCUGGAUGAGGGUUACCUGUAUGGCCGGCAGUGGAUUGCUACCAUGCUGGUGGAGGGGGAAGAUGGGCACACCACCAUCAAUGCGUCUAAGGUGGUGCGAGGGAUGCUGGGGGAGACCGAUGAUGUGAAGGCUGAACAGCUGGAGAAGCAGGUGGUGGAGCUGUGGGACCGAGUGUACCAGGCAUGGGUGGUGGCACAUCCCCAGACUGUGUCACCCGGGCCAGUGGUCACCUCGGAGGCUGUGGCCAUGAGCUUUGACUCCCUGAUGGAGGGACUCAAGCACUCCCCAGACUCGGCAAUGGGAGGGGUGAGUCUGUCCCUGGUCAGUGAGGUGGUGGGGGACAACCUGGGCACCGUCAUGAGUGUGCUGGAGUCAGUGUGGGGCCUCUUGCUGGGGAACCUCAGCCUGGCCCUCUCCGCCCUCACUGCCGUCGCCUCACUGCUGCUUGGGGGAUCUCUCUCUAUUCUUAAUGCUCUCAUCAGUGUGGUUGUCUUCAUGUCAUCUCUGUUUUACGUGCUGAGUGCCAGUGGGUCAGUGUACAAGCCUGUUGCUGUAAUAGUCAACUUGGCACCAGGACAGAUGACCCACCUGGGCAAAGCAGUGGAGGAUGCAGUGAAUGGAGUGUUCAUCGCCUCACUCAAGAUGGGAGCGUUCUACGGAAUGUGGACGUGGCUGCUGCACUCCCUCUUCAGUGUCAACAUUGUCUACAUCCCGUCUGUGUUGGGAGCAGUGUUUGGUGCUGUGCCUCUGGUGGGAACAUACUGGGCUGCCUUCCCUGGUGCUCUGGAGCUCUUCUGGCACCGGGAGUCCCCCUGGUUGGCAGGUCUCCUCCUCGUGGCGCAGCUGCUGCCCAUGUCCUGUGUUGAUACUGCCAUCUAUGCUGACAUCAAGGGGGGCAGCCAUCCCUACCUGACAGGCCUGGCGGUGGCUGGGGGCGUAUUCUACUGGGGGGUGCAGGGGGCCAUACUGGGGCCACUGCUACUCUGCAUCCUCAAGGUCGCCACCAACAUGUACUCAACCCUCAUCCAGUCCCCAGCUGACAUCACACGUCGCUUUGCUAAACUGCGCAGGGAGAAGCUGCAGGCGGAGAGAGUGUGAGCUGCCUGUAGGGACCCGUAGCCAGCAGAUGCGUCCAUAGUGUGUAGGUAAACCCAACAAUAAACUGAGAUGGAAGUGAGCAGUGAGAUGCCAGAGUGAAGUUGUUUGUGAUAUGUGACAGCCAAGACAGGAAGCUCUGACCAUCUCCCUCUCCUCCCUCCUUUACCAAGCUGCUGCACUACACAGGAGGCCAGCUCAGGGUUGUGGGUCUUGCACAGCACAGCAUUACACAGCACUCAAGCCUUGUGUACUCUUGCCAACACCUUGUGUAAACUGGAGCUUAAUCUCAUUAGCGCUUAGUAUUUUAAGGGACUUGGGCAUUCAGGGUAUAUGUGUAAGUAAGAUGAGUGCUGUGUGUGUGAAAGGAAGGCCCAUUUCCUCAAUACCCUGCUGGGAUAAUUAGAUAAAAUAAAGGUUGGGAGAAUGAGAGCACUGGAAUGCUUAUAGACACAAACCGCACAGAUUUCUUCCAUGGCUACAAUGUGAGGGAGCUCUAUGGAACAAACCUCAGUAGGUCAGUAGGUCAGCCUGGCACCUUAGUGAGGGCGAGGUACCCUUUAGUGAUUUACUAAUGCGUGGUGGGUCUUUGUGUGUCCACACAGUAUUUUUUGCCAAAAAAAUCUUUUUUGCACUUUGCCACUUGAGCUCUGGGAUGAGGAUAUGUGGCUGAUGUGCACAUGGGUGGUGGGGAAAUGUUGGAUGUGUGAAGGUGGAGCAAGGCUGCCAUCACCCUCUCUUGUGAGGUGUGGCAGGAAGUCUUGCCACUCCAGAGAUGGGCUGUAGAGGCAGCUGUUGCAGGGUGCCAAUGUGGUGUACUGCACUGGUGAUGCACAAUGGGCUCAUGGCUCUUGCCUGGUGUGUGUGUGUGUGUGUGUGUGUGUGUGUGUGUGUGUGUGUGUGUGUGUGUGUGUGUGUGUGUGUGUGUGUGUGUGUGUGUGUGUGCUAGACUGUAGCUGGAAGAAAAGCUUUAAUGUGUUUGUCCCCAAAGCUUACUGAUUCUCUCUCACACAAAAAAUGUUCUAAGAACAGUUUUUGGAUUUAUGUUCUAUGUGUUUAAGUUAUUGUGUGUGUGUGUGUGUGUGUGUGUGUGUGUGUGUGUGUGUGUGUGUGUGUGUGUGUGUGUGUGUGUGUGUGUGUGUGUGUGUUACCCAAUGCUCCUUGACAUUUUCCAGCUUGUACAGAAAAGUACCUUACUUCCUUAAUAAUAGUUACUAUUCACUAAUUUUUUGAACCAUUGAUCACUCAAAAAAGCUUCCUCUGAUAGUUAAGUAGGUUAGUAAUGGUGGUGCUGCCUUGUACUAUAAAGAAUGAACCUUGUUCUGAGACCUGUGAGUGAGGGAAAGCUGUGAUGGCUGGGUGGUGGUGGUGAUGGUGGAGGUAACUGUAUGUGGUGAUGAUAGAGACUGAAGCAUCGACAUCGGUGAUAAUAUUUGUAGUAUCUGUUAUGCAGGUGAUGGUAACUAUACCAGCCAGUAGUGGUAGGAGUUGUGAUAGAAGUGGUGAAGGUUCUUGUAGGCCUGACUGUUACUCUUGGUGGUGGUGGCAGCUGUUAAUAGGACAGUGUUUGUUGUUUUGGUGUUAAGGAAGAGGCCAAGUAAAAAGGGAUUCGCUUCCAUACUGGUGAUAAUUGGUGAUUUCAGUCAUACUUGUUUUGUUUCCUUUUGGUAGAGGGAGUGGUAGUGGUGGUGUGAAGUGGUGGUGCUGGUGGUGUUGAUGAUGAUGUGAAUGAAGAUGAAGCAAAGGUACAGGUGUUGAUUCUUCCUGUUAUUAUCUGUAUGCCUUUUAUCAAUCUGUAUCUGUAUCUUUUUAUCAAUCUGUAUGCCUUUGCAUUAUCAAGUGGAACAGAAAUGUGGAAUGAGAGUUUCUAAGUGACAUAGUUUUCUUGCCAUUAUAAUUUCUUUUCUUUGUAUUUUUGAAGCAAAGUAUGAAUAUUUAGGUAGAUGCAAUCUCACCUCAGCCUUAGGAGGUCUUUAAGGGGUAUAGAAGAAUUGAGCUUGUUGAGAACACUGUGACUGGAAAACAGUUCUUAUUUGCAUUU